UCGGGAAUAUUGCGCAAUGGAGGAAACUCUGACGCAGUGACGCCGCGUGCAGGAAGAAGGUUUUCGGAUUGUAAACUGCUUUAGACAGGGAAGAAACAAAUGACAGUACCUGUAGAAUAAGCUCCGGCUAACUACGUGCCAGCAGCCGCGGUAAUACGUAGGGAGCAAGCGUUAUCCGGAUUUAUUGGGUGUAAAGGGUGCGUAGAUGGACAAACAGGUUGGUUGUGAAAUACCUCGGCUCAACUGAGGAACUGCAACCAAAACUGUAGGUCUUGAGUACUGGAGGGGAAAGCGGAAUUCCUAGUGUAGCGGUGAAAUGCGUAGAGAUUAGGAGGAACACCAGAGGCGAAGGCGGCCUACUGGACCACAACUGACGCUGAGGCUCGAAAGCGUGGGGAGCAAACAGGAUUAGAUACCCUGGUAGU
rnacentral:rRNA from 1 species